GACGAACGCUGGCGGCGUGCUUAACACAUGCAAGUCGAACGGUAAGGCCCUUCGGGUACGACGAGUGGCGAACGGGUGAGUAACACGUGGGUGAUCUGCCCUGCACUUCGGGAUAAGCUUGGGAAACUGGGUCUAAUACCGGAUAGGACCACGGUCUGCAUGGAUUGUGGUGGAAAGCUUUUGCGGUGUGGGAUGGGCCCGCGGCCUAUCAGCUUGUUGGUGGGGUGAUGGCCUACCAAGGCGACGACGGGUAGCCGGCCUGAGAGGGUGUCCGGCCACACUGGGACUGAGAUACGGCCCAGACUCCUACGGGAGGCAGCAGUGGGGAAUAUUGCACAAUGGGCGCAAGCCUGAUGCAGCGACGCCGCGUGGGGGAUGACGG
rnacentral:rRNA from 1 species